CUGACAUUUUAUACGCUGUCAUCCAAGUACUACAGUGCUAUACAUGGGCUGGUGAUAGGAAAACAGAGUGCAACGAGGUGUUAGGUUAGCAGUGGAUUGAGCUAUUCGGCAUAGCAGGAUGUUGGUGUCAGUGCUGCUUGAAUAUGCUUUGUUUCCCCGUGGUAGACAAAAGGGAAGGUUGUGGUGUAGCAUUUGUCCCUGUUGUAGGUGUAGCAGGUUUCUGGCUCGUUGCAGGAGUUGCUCUGCUGGGCCUGGUAUGUCUCACCCCCCAGCUCAAUUUCUACGGGAUCACAUUUUUUGCAGAGUUCAGUCAUGCGGUAGACAAAAGUGGUUCUGAGUGGGGAUGUGGGAUCAGAGAUAUUCUCCCGGCUCUUGAGUGGGACAAUGAUACGUAUGUUUCUCUCCAGGACUUCUUCCUCAGGAUUGUCUUUGGAGGGGACGAACUUUGAGGUCACCGUUACGCACUUACACUUGUUAUUAACCAGCACACGCUCCUCACCAUCAUCCCAUUGAUAACCUGCCACAAGGACGAACCCCAGGGAGACGGCCAAAGCCACCCACGGCAAAGAGCUCUUCAUCUUGCCUUCCC
rnacentral:lncRNA from 1 species